rnacentral:rRNA from 1 species
UACGUAGGGUGCGAGCGUUAAUCGGAAUUACUGGGCGUAAAGCGUGCGCAGGCGGUUUUGUAAGUCAGAUGUGAAAUCCCCGGGCUUAACCUGGGAACUGCGUUUGAAACUACAAGGCUAGAGUGUGGCAGAGGGGGGUGGAAUUCCACGUGUAGCAGUGAAAUGCGUAGAGAUGUGGAGGAACACCGAUGGCGAAGGCAGCCCCCUGGGUUAACACUGACGCUCAGGCACGAAAGCGUGGGUAGCAAACAGG